rnacentral:rRNA from 1 species
CCUACGGGUGGCAGCAGUGGGGGAUAUUGCACAAUGGGGGAAACCCUGAUGCAGCGACGCCGCGUGGGUGAAGAAGGAUUUCGGAAUGUAAAGCCCUAUCAGCAGGGAAGAAAGAAGACGGUACCUGACUAAGAAGCACCGGCUAACUACGUACCAGCAGCCGCGGUAAACCGUAGGGGGCGAGCGUUAUCCGGAUUGACUGGGCGUAAGGGGAGCGUAGACGGGAGGGCAAGCCAGGAGUGAAAGCCCGGGGCACAACGCCGGGACUGCUCUUGGAACUGGGAGGCUGGAGUGCGGGAGGGGAAGGUGGAAUUCCUGGUGUAGCGGUGAAAUGCGUAGAUAUCAGGAGGAACACCGGCGGCGAAGGCGACCAGCUGGAACGCGACUGACGUUGAGGCGCGAAAGCGUGGGGAGCGAACAGGAUUAGAUACCCGGGUAGUC